rnacentral:rRNA from 1 species
UAGGGAAUCUUCGGCAAUGGGGGCAACCCUGACCGAGCAACGCCGCGUGAGUGAAGAAGGUUUUCGGAUCGUAAAGCUCUGUUGUUAGAGAAGAAUGAUGGUGGGAGUGGAAAAUCCACCAAGUGACGGUAACUAACCAGAAAGGGGCGGCUAACUACGUGCCAGCAGCCGCGGUAAUACGUAGGUCCCGAGCGUUGUCCGGAUUUAUUGGGCGUAAAGCGAGCGCAGGCGGUUUUUUAAGUCUGAAGUUAAAGGCAUUGGCCCAACCAAUGUACGCUUUGGAAACUGGAGAACUUGAGUGCAGAAGGGGAGAGUGGAAUUCCAUGUGUAGCGGUGAAAUGCGUAGAUAUAUGGAGGAACACCGGUGGCGAAAGCGGCUCUCUGGUCUGUAACUGACGCUGAGGCUCGAAAGCGUGGGGAGCAAACAGGAUUAGAUACCCUGGUAGUCCACGCCGUAAACGAUGAGUGCUAGGUGUUAGGCCCUUUCCGGGGCUUAGUGCCGGAGCUAACGCAUUAAGCACUCCGCCUGGGGAGUACGACCGCAAGGUUG